rnacentral:rRNA from 1 species
CGCGGCCUAUCAGCUUGUUGGUGGGGUAACGGCCUACCAAGGCGAUUACGGGUAGCCGGCCUGAGAGGGCGACCGGCCACACUGGGACUGAGACACGGCCCAGACUCCUGCGGGAGGCAGCAGUGGGGAAUAUUGCGCAAUGGGCGAAAGCCUGACGCAGCGACGCCGCGUGGGGGAUGACGGCCUUCGGGUUGUAAACCUCUUUUACCACCAACGCAGGCUCCGGGUUCUCUCGGGGUUGACGGUAGGUGGGGAAUAAGGACCGGCUAACUACGUGCCAGCAGCCGCGGUAAUACGUAGGGUCCGAGCGUUGUCCGGAAUUAUUGGGCGUAAAGAGCUCGUAGGCGGCGUGUCGCGUCUGCUGUGAAAGACCGGGGCUUAACUCCGGUUCUGCAGUGGAUACGGGCAUGCUAGAGGUAGGUAGGGGAGACUGGAAUUCCUGGUGUAGCGGUGAAAUGCGCAGAUAUCAGGAGGAACACCGGUGGCGAAGGCGGGUCUCUGGGCCUUACCUGACGCUGAGGAGCGAAAGCAUGGGGAGCGAACAGGAUUAGAUACCCUGGUAGUCCAUGCCGUAAACGUUGGGCGCUACGUGUGGGGACUUUCCACGGGUUUCCGCGCCGUAGCUAACGCAUUAAGCGCCCCGCCUGGGGAGUACGG